rnacentral:lncRNA from 1 species
GAUUUAUUUAUUUGAGAGAUUUCAGAGUCGCCACUUAGGAUAAUUAUAGGUGUCCAAGUCACCAGUUUAAAAUCCCGAAUCGAGGAAGGUUUGACUCUGUUAUACAGUCUGCGAGCCAGAAAUCCAGGUAAGGAAUCUAUUAACCCCGGAGAAGGUGUUAGCCAUUCCCGAGUUCCGUGGUUCUAGCACGGUUGAUCAACUAAUAUAUUCGGCUUA